GCCUGGGUGGCUCAGUCGGUUAAGCGUCCGACUUCAGCUCAGGUCAUGAUCUCACGGUUCGUGGGUUCGAGCCCCGCGUCGGGCU
rnacentral:tRNA from 1 species